rnacentral:rRNA from 1 species
UCAGGGCCUCAAAUCAGACAAGAGUACCCCGCUGAACUUAAGCAUAUCAAUAAGCGGAGGAAAAGAAACUAACAAGGAUUCCCCUAGUAACGGCGAGUGAAGCGGGAACAGCUCAAAUUUUAAAUCUGGCUGCUUUGUAGUCCGAGUUGCAAUUUGAAGGAGUCUUGCCGCUGGCAAAACGAUGGCACAAGUCCUCUGGAACGGGGCAUCGUAGAGGGUGAGAAUCCCGUCUCUGGUCAUCACGCGCUGGCAUACGGCAGGCAUCCGAAGAGUCGAGUUGUUUGGGAUUGCAGCUCCAAAUGGGUGGUAAACUCCAUCUAAGGCUAAAUAUUGGCGAGAGACCGAUAGCGAACAAGUACCGUGAGGGAAAGAUGAAAAGAACUUUGAAAAGAGAGUAAAACAGUACGUGAAAUUGUUGAAAGGGAAACGAUUGAAG